rnacentral:rRNA from 1 species
UGGGGAAUUUUGGACAAUGGGCGCAAGCCUGAUCCAGCCGUUCCGCGUGCAGGACGAAGGCCUUCGGGUUGUAAACUGCUUUUGUACGGAACGAAAAGCCCUUCUCUAAUACAGAGGGGUCAUGACGGUACCGUAAGAAUAAGCACCGGCUAACUACGUGCCAGCAGCCGCGGUAAUACGUAGGGUGCGAGCGUUAAUCGGAAUUACUGGGCGUAAAGCGUGCGCAGGCGGUUAUAUAAGACAGAUGUGAAAUCCCCGGGCUCAACCUGGGAACUGCAUUUGUGACUGUAUAGCUAGAGUACGGCAGAGGGGGAUGGAAUUCCGCGUGUAGCAGUGAAAUGCGUAGAUAUGCGGAGGAACACCGAUGGCGAAGGCAAUCACCGGGGCCUGGACUGACGCUCAUGCACGAAAGCGUGGGAAGCAAACA